GCCUAUCUAGCUCAGUCGGUAGAGCAAUCGGCUGUUAACCGAUCGGUCGUAGGUUCGAGUCCUACGAUAGGCGCCA
rnacentral:tRNA from 1 species